UACAGAGGUGCCAAGCGUUAGGCGGAAUCACUGGGCUUAAAGGGCGCGUAGGCGGGCUCGCAAGUCCGGGGUGAAAGCCCCCAGCUCAACUGGGGAAGUGCCUUGGAUACUGCGGGCCUCGAGGGAGGUAGGGGCGUGCGGAACUUCCGGUGGAGCGGUGAAAUGCGUAGAUAUCGGAAGGAACACCGGUGGCGAAAGCGGCGCGCUGGACCUCUUCUGACGCUGAGGCGCGAAAGCCAGGGGAGCAAACGGG
rnacentral:rRNA from 1 species